UACGUAGGGCGCAAGCGUUUGUCCGGAAUUAUUGGGCGUAAAGAGCUCGUAGGCGGCUUGUCACGUCGGGUGUGAAAGCCCGGGGCUUAACCCCCGGGUCUGCAUUCGAUACGGGCAGGCUAGAGUGUGGUAGGGGAGAUCGGAAUUCCUGGUGUAGCGGUGAAAUGCGCAGAUAUCAGGAGGAACACCGGUGGCGAAGGCGGAUCUCUGGGCCAUUACUGACGCUGAGGAGCGAAAGCGUGGGGAGCGAACAGG
rnacentral:rRNA from 1 species